rnacentral:rRNA from 1 species
CACGUAGGGCGCAAGCGUUGUCCGGAAUUAUUGGGCGUAAAGAGCUCGUAGGCGGUCCGUCACGUCCGCUGUGAAAACCCAGGGCUCAACCCUGGGCUUGCAGUGGGUACGGGCAGACUAGAGUGUGGUAGGGGAGACUGGAAUUCCUGGUGUAGCGGUGAAAUGCGCAGAUAUCAGGAGGAACACCGAUGGCGAAGGCAGGUCUCUGGGCCAUAACUGACGCUGAGAAGCGAAAAGCAUGGGGGAGCGAACAGG